rnacentral:rRNA from 1 species
GAUGAACGCUGGCGGCGUGCCUAAUACAUGCCAGUCGAGCGAACAGAUGAGGAGCUUGCUCCUCUGACGUUAGCGGCGGACGGGUGAGUAACACGUGGAUAAUCUACCUAUAAGACUGGGAUAACUUCGGGAAACCGGAGCUAAUACCGGAUAAUAUAUUGAACCGCAUGGUUCAAUAGUGAAAGACGGUUUUGCUGUCACUUAUAGAUGGAUCCGCGCCGCAUUAGCUAGUUGGUAAGGUAACGGCUUACCAAGGCAACGAUGCGUAGCCGACCUGAGAGGGUGAUCGGCCACACUGGAACUGAGACACGGUCCAGACUCCUACGGGAGGCAGCAGUAGGGAAUCUUCCGCAAUGGGCGAAAGCUUGACGGAGCAACGCCGCGUGAGUGAUGAAGGUCUUCGGAUCGUAAAACUCUGUUAUUAGGGAAGAACAAAUGUGUAAGUAACUAUGCACGUCUUGACGGUACCUAAUCAGAAAGCCACGGCUAACUACGUG